CAGACUGGGAUGCUGGGAAGGAUUCUCCAUUAGCCUGGCGCUCUGAAGUUGUGAAGCCCUCCGAGCAUUCUGCAGCCGUGUCUGCAGGGACAACUCCACCAACUCCUACCUUGGAUGCUGCACAUAAGCCCAGCUCCCAUGGCAGGGGUCCUCCACCAGAAGAGAUCAAAGACAUGGCAGAAAAGAAAUUCCAGGACCCAUUAGAAAUCAUGUGGCAAAUGCUGAAGGAACGUCUGCAGAGAAGACAAGAAAUGAACGGAGAGCCUGUGCAGAAAGAAGCAUUUCCCGGAGGAAGCAGUGGUUCCGUGCCAGCCUCUGCUACAGGAAGGGAGGCCAUGCCAGGCACAGGCA